rnacentral:misc_RNA from 1 species
AUUGUGUUUCAACACAAAAUAUUUGUUAAGUGUUCGAAAUGGCCGACUUGACAUUUCAGAAUGAUCCUUCAUACAAGAUUCAGGGAGUUCCUGAUGCGAUCAAGAUGAACCAGCUCCAGAACCUGCUGCACGACGCCCUCAUCUCGACGGACCACGUCCAGCAGUGUGCCGUCAUCCACCGCAAGGACUGCAGCGUCCGGGCCAGCUCCAUUGGCUUUAGUUUAUACCCAGACCAAAUUCAAAUGCUGUUAGAUGCAUUUAGAAAUCCUCAACAAACGCGGGAAGAGGGAAUGUAUUUCGCAGACCAGCAAUACAAGUGUGUUAGAGCUGACAAGAACUCAAUAUAUGCAAAAUGUAAUAAAAAUGGCUUAGUACUGGUGAAAACCAUAUCUUUACUCCUUGUUGCAACCUACACAGAAAACAUGUUUGCUGGUGUGUGUGUGGAAGCUGUGGAAAAAUUAGCUGAUUAUUUCAAAGAAAAAGGAAAAUGAUGGACCGACCCUAACAAAGCCCUACAAACUGGACAACAUUGACCUAAGCAAAAUAUAUACUUUUCUGCAAUUUGAAUACACAUUGGCCUGUCCACUAAAGGUUUCAUCCUUCGACUCUUCACAUAUCAGUCAUUCUACCAGUUAUAUUCUGCUUCUGCAAACAUAAAAAGAGGCAUAUAAAAGGCCUUAAACAGUUAUGCAUGGAUUAUGGGUUUUUUACAUAUACGAAAGAAGUAUGUAUGUAAGUUUAGUUUACUUGUUAUUUGUUAUUUUAAUACGUUUUCUGUUGAAUAUCCGUCCAAUUUCUCAUUCUAUUCAAACUACUGAACAUUCCAUCCAUUUUAACCUCUUAACAGACCCAGUACUUGUUAAAUUGUUCUUUUUAAUGUUCAUUUAACACCAUUGUGUAUACAUUGUUGCUUUUGCAAGAAGAUACCGUUGAUAAUUAUUAUUGAUUAUAAUAUUACAUGUUUUUUAAUAAAUUAUAUAUAUAUGUAUAGAAGAAUUCUAUUUUAUUUUUCUAAGGAUUCAGUCUUUACGAGACAGGUUCCUUUUGUAAUACUGAAUAAAAGUAGGGCAGUGACCCCAGUAUUCGACCAGUGUAUUUAAUUAAUUACCAUACUGGUUUAAACUGAAUAGUAUAUUGAUUUUCCCAAAGUAUUUAGAACAUACGCUUCAGGGUAAACAUUCUUUCUUCCGGAAACGCAAUAGCAGACAAUAACCAUGUGAAUGAACUUAAGUAUAUAUUCAUCAGCUAUAGUGAUAAUAUGAACGUCGGCCAUUUUUAUUGCAUGCUAUUACACCAUCCAACAUUCCGUGAACAUUUGCAAUACUUUUAAUCCAUUUGAAAUCUUUGAAAAUGUCUUUAAUGUUUUUAUUUAUGAUCAAACAGAGCUGGCAAUACGAUACGUACCAGUCUUUAAUGUACCAGUCUUGGGUAACUGGUUGAGGGGGGGGGGGGGGGGGAGGGGGUUUGAGAGUGAGGGGAAUACAACUGAAGGUGAUUAAUCCUAAGAUCCAGCCACCUUAGCGAGUGCUCUACCACUGAGCCACAUCCCAUCUCCCAAUCAGGAGCCUGCCCCCCCCCCUAAAUUUUGUGACAGUUAUAAUUUUAUUAUAUAUUAAUUUGCUUCUUUUUUUAUGGUGCCCUCCAAAAUUCCACUGGCAAUCUGCCUCAUGUCGUUGGGGGCCCCCCUAAAUAACAUACUGCUGCAUUCGAUAUAUUAGUCUUGGGGCACUGGAUGAAAAAGUCCAUCGUCGAUAUUGAUACUUGGACUCAUUGCACAUCAAUCAAGCAUUCUACCACCUAGGAAAAUUGAAUUAUUAAAAGUUAAGUUUUGUUGGAUAUCACCACUAUAGCACAUUAUUUAAUCAUCGGCUAAUGGAUGUCAAACAUUUGGGGAUUCUAACAGACUUGGGAGGAAACCAGCUACAUUUUUUCCCAUUGGCAGCAAGGAAUCUUCCCACCGACUGAACAGCACAUACUACCACCUUUGAUAUUCCAGUCACUGGUUGGGACAAGGAAAAAACCCAAUCAGUGAAUGGAUCUACCUAAUCACCAUAAUUGUGUCAGUUCAAUAAUAUUGAAUAAGUUACGUCCAGUUUCGUUUUUGAUCAAGUAUAGUUUUUUGCAAACUACCAUAAGAUUGUUGAUGGGGUGGGAAAUAACCCCCGACAUGCUGAAUACUCAAUUUCAUAAAAUUUAAUCCUGUAAAGUAUGUUUUGUUUAACACCACCACUAGAGCACACCGAUUUAAUGAAAAGAAAAAGAAAGAAAUGUUUUAUUUAACGACGCACUCAACAUUUUAUUUUUACGGUUAUAUGGCAUCA